AUAAUAAAAAGUAGUGACUACAUACGUACGUAUAAUGAAGUUCAUUUGUCGUUUAACUCCUCAUCACUCCAGUUUCUCUGUCACUUAUGAUAAUAAUUGUUUGUGUCGGUGAUAAUAUCAUAUAAAUACAUAUAUGUACAUAUGUAUGCAUGCAUCGAUUAUCACUUGGUAUCUUCUAGUUUUUCAGAUUUUUAAAUCGCUCGAUCGAUCCAAGAGGUUUUGUUUCAGCGAGUUUGAACUUCUUGGGGGUAGCUAUCUCUUUAUCCAUGGCAGCAGCAGAAGGUGGAUUAGAAUGGUGGGUUAUAUUCACUGUGACUGGUUUUCUUGUUGUAACUUCAGUAACUGCAGCUUCUUCAGCUCCACAAGAAACCUUGGAACAAGAGCAUCAGCAUGCUUCCAUUUACAUUAACGGGAGCCAAACGUUUCAGUCUCACAAAUUUCAGACCAGAAUGUUAAACUUUUUGUGGCAACUGGGUCGGUUAUUCAGUUAUGAGCAUGUUUGGCCUGAAAUGACCAUUGGGUGGAAAAUUGUGGUGGGUACAAUAAUUGGAUUUCUAGGGUCUGCUUUUGGAACUGUUGGUGGAGUUGGUGGGGGUGGCAUUUUUGUUCCCAUGCUCACUUUGAUUAUUGGAUUUGACCAGAAAUCAUCAACAGCUAUAUCAAAGUGUAUGAUCACAGGUGCUGCAAUUUCAUCUGUGUUCUACAAUCUAAGGCUAAGGCAUCCGACAGCUGACCUCCCCCUCAUCGACUACGACUUGGCACUUCUUUUCCAACCAAUGCUUGUGCUUGGGAUCAGUAUUGGAGUUGCUUUCAAUGUCAUAUUUGCUAACUGGAUGAUCACAGUGUUAUUAAUCAUUACUUUCUUAGCCACAUCAAGUAGGGCAUUCUUCAAGGGCAUUGAGACAUGGAAAAAAGAAACUAUAGUAAAAAAGGAGGCUGCUAGACGGAUGCAGUCAAAUGGUGAUGAUGCUACUGCAGAAGUUUAUUACAAGCCUCUACCCAGUGGCCCGAGCAAUGGCACUCCAACAGAAACCGGGGAAUCCAAAAGAACAGAGGUUUCUAUCUUUGAGAAUCUUUACUGGAAGGAACUUCUGAUUCUUUUUGCUGUCUGGAUUAUAAUUCUUGCAUUGCAGAUCGCUAAGAAUUAUACAACAACUUGUUCGGCAGCAUAUUGGGCAUAUAAUCUCUUGCAGAUCCCCGUGGCUUUCGGAGUAACUAUAUUCGAGGCAGUUAAACUGUACAAAGGAGAUAGAGUGAUUGCGUCCCGGGCAGAAUUAAACACAAAUUGGACAGUAAACCAGCUUGUUCUUUGUAGUGCCUGUGGUAUCAUAGCCGGUAUAGUUGGUGGAUUGCUUGGUCUUGGUGGAGGCUUCAUUUUAGGUCCUGUUUUUCUGGAGCUAGGAAUCCCACCUCAGGUCUCAAGUGCGACAGCCACAUUUGCCAUGACAUUUUCUGCCUCCCUGUCUGUUGUAGAGUACUACCUCCUAAAACGAUUCCCGAUUCCUUAUGCUCUCUACUUUACUGCUGUGGCCACAUUUUCAGCCCUAGUAGGGCAAUAUGUAGUGAGAAAGGUAGUCAGUUUUUUGGGGAGAGCAUCUAUAAUUAUCUUCAUUCUUGCCUUCACAAUCUUUGUGAGUGCAAUAUCACUAGGUGGAGUUGGAAUAGUAGAUAUGAUUGAAAAGAUUAAGCAUAAAGAGUACAUGGGAUUUGAAAACAUCUGCACUUAUGAUGCCUAGUUUUAGUAACUUCUUCUGCCUUCACUUCUCCCCCAUCUCAAGCAUCCUUUGCCAUACCCUAAUUAGGGUUUUGCUUCAAGAUUCUUUCAACUCGACAUGAUUAUUUGGGUUUUGCCGCUCUCAAAUGUUGCUCUUUUUUUCUGGGCUAAUGAGCUUAUGCGGUAUGUAGGUAGGAGGGAAGAGAAAUCAACUGUCCUCCCUACUCUUUCAAGUUUCAAGUGCACUCUUCCCUUGCAUGGAUGGAACCAAGGGAACUGAGGGAGAUAACCUGGGAAUCACUUGACCAGGGGCCAAUGGAAUCACACGACGUCGCUACGGGGAUAGAACCUAGAAAUCACUCGACCAGGGGCAAAGGAAUCACUCACGUUGCUAAUCGUCGAUUCACUCGACACGACUAAGUCUCACACUUGAUUUUAAGGAAGGAGAAAACUCACUCUCUUCUUAGAUUAACUUUUGAAUUCUCUAAUUGACUACUUUAAGGAUACAUAUGGAGCCCUUUAAAUAGGGAAAUUAUAAAGCAUUGGUAUACUAAACAUUUAAGAGUAGGAUAGUUACUAGGCAAUUCAAUUAAAAGAGAAGGUCACAAAGGUUUUGAGAGAUGAGAAGUCACUAAAGCCUUAAAUUAAUUUGUUCCCCAUGCACUACAUCAGUUAUAUGUUCAUACUAAUGAAUAUCAUUUGUUUAAAUAUUAUUAUCAUGUUAUAAUAAAGGGAAAUACCCCAAAAUGAGACAAUUUCUUAA